rnacentral:rRNA from 1 species
AUGGCACAAUCAUCCGAUGCGGGUGACGAAGACGAACUUAAAUAUGUAGUCCAUGUUGGUGGCAGCGAUGUAUCAGAAGCCGUCCUGAAGAAACAUUUGGAGAAAUUUGGAGAAGGAGUCCGCGUGACAAUGCAUGAUCGCAAUGGGAAAAGCAAGAAGUUUGCUUAUGUUUAUUGCGAGAAUAAAGAUGUUGCUUCACAGGUUAUUGAACUAUUAAACGAGAUAUAUCCAGAAGGAAAUAAGAUAAAGGCUACUAUCUCCAACCAACAUAAGGAAAAUUCCAGAAAGGAAGAGGAAGAAGUUGAUCUUAAAACUUCAAAGCCCGUCGAAAAGGCUCGUGAAGAUGUCAUAAUACCGUACACCAUCGGGGACAAAGAAGGGCACAUUAAAUUCAUCACGGAGCUGCGUAAGAAGUUGUCCAAGCUCAAGGAGGGUUCUGAUGUCGUGGAUGAGAUCUUUGAGGGCGAUUCAUGUCGUGUCCAAGCUCAAGCUCAUCCACUGCUCGUUGCAAAGCCAAGUGCCAAAAAGGCAGUACGGUGGAUUCAUGUCGAGCUGCGUGCUAUUGAUGAGAAGGACAACACUGGCAGUACGGUAAUGCUGACAACCCUGGCUGUCCGGAAGGACAACUUGUACGUCAAGGGCUUCACGAACGAGGACGGACAGUGGUUUGAGCUUCCAGCCAAUGCUGCUAACGACAACAUGAAGCUCCCGGAAGGUUACAAGGCAAAGGAGCUGAAAGUGUGGGACGUCAGCUACAGGGGACUAAUGAAUCUCAGUAACAAGGAUCAAGUCAAGAAGACACUCAUGUCAACGAGGCUGUGCAAGGCCUUCGCGGUGAGGGCCGUGAGCAGACUCUCGCGCUACCGAAUUGGGAAUGAAAAUGACCUUCCGGAGAAAAAAAUUGAUGAAAACCUCACCAGGCUGUCACUAGCGGGCCUGAUGGUGAUGAUCUGCGAGGCCGCAAGGAUGAAUCCUUUCCUCGACACCAUUGUAGGUGGCUGGGACGGGGGAACGGGACUCACCUCGCGGCUGUUGGAUAUCAUGUGGGAUUGGGGAAGCAUGUCAGCCGCACUGCUCAAGUGGAAGAAGACUGGUAAAUGGCCCAUCAAAUGCAGACAUGGUCUAGGCACUGCAUUAGCGUCCAUUAACCUUGUGCUUGACUCCACUGAUGUUACGGGCUCUGGACCAACCUGGGUGGAGAUUUUUGCCAUCUCUUCCAACUUCCCCGUUAUUAGCAUCACGGUCAUCGAUGAGGGAAAACGCAAAAAUACAAUCUACUAUAAGCAGAAGACGGAACAAAUUCACGAGGGGCAAACACAACAGGGAAUUGUACCUUUGAAGUUGACAGAUAAAGGCAGACGCAUUUCAGGGUAUGAAUAUUUCGGCAUGGAAGUUGUCCUCCCACCGUGGGAAAGCAGUGGUGAUAGCAUCACAAAGAAGUUUAAAUGGGAUUGCCGCAAACAGGAUGUAGACACCACCGAAGUUGUAGCCCACACUAUCAAUUUAGACCAUGGGCGCAAGAUUGUUGUCACUUAUUUGGUGAUGAAUAACUUAGUAGAGGCGAAGGUGGAGGUGAAGCUGCCGCUCAUAGGCGAGUCACCUAAAUAUUGGCGACCUAAUGACUUAGCUCACAGGGGAACAGACAAGAUCAGAGGCAAGAAGUACACUGUUCAUGGUGAAAUCAUUGCGCAGAUUGAUGGCUUUGAAGACAACCCGAUUGUGCUCUUCAGAACUGAAGGGGAGCAGGAGUUCCCCCGUGACCUUGAGACGUCCAUCCUGAUGCAAUCUUCCGUUUCUGUGCCAUCUGGUAAACGGCUUCAUAUCGACAUGGCGGCCCUGGAUAUUAAAGAAGCUCCUGGGGACCGGCCUGUCAAGAAAGCUAGUAGGCUCAGCUACGACUGUGGAAGAUCAAGACGGACUUCCCUUGCACAAGAUCAAGGUGAUGCCAAUAUUGAAGUUGAAGUUGAAGUGAACGUCACCUGGCCUGCUCAAGAGGAGACGGUGGAGAGAGAACCAGACGUUGUGUUCAUCAUUGGGGAUAGAGAAAAGUUCACUUCAUCCAUCGAGGAGCUGCGUGGCGUGCUCAUGCGCCAUGAACACCCCGAGGAUGCCUUGCAUGGCUGCAAAGACAAAGUGCUCCUCGACACCGGUAAACACCCAGUGCUCGCCAGACGACGCCAUUCUCAACAGCCACCGCGGUGGAUACACGUCAAGCUGGAAGUGGUGGCUGGCGAGGAGACGUCGUCCACGACCCUAGCCAUCCGGGAUGAUGAAUGCUGUGCAGCUGGAUUCAUGAACCAGAACGGAGUUUGGUACGAUCUUGCCCCACACUACCCUUGGCGGCGCAGCGGCGACAAGCAACUCCCACCAGAAUACAACUCUGUACGCCUAGACUGGGACUACCGCUUGUGGUCUGACGUCGCCCAGUAUGAACUUAUCCACGAGAGGCUGGGCAGAAUUUGCCUGGGCCAGGAAUCCGCUAGGGCCGCCGUGCGCAUGAUGUCACGAUACCCGGAUGUGGAGGAGCAUGAGGAACCCAUGCUAGCACUGGCACAACUGAUCAUCAUGGUAUGCGAAUCCGCAAGAUUCAAUCCUAUUUCUGAAUCCAUUGCGACUGGCUGGGAUACAAGGAUAGAAUGCCCCAAGGAACUGUAUGAGUACACCCGGAUCUGGCGUCAGAUAUCAGUGGCCCUGCUCCGCUGGAAGGAUCAUGGCCACAACAGCAACAGAUGGCCACAACAGCAACAUUCGGAAAUGGGAAUCAAUUGCCCAGUAGAUGCACUACGUAUCGUUUACCUCCUGUUCAACAGCGACGAUCGUACAAAACAGAUCUACAUGCAGUACACCAUCAAGGAAAAAGCAGGGUUCAGUACAUUCAUCGAGCAACUGCGUGAUGUGCUCGCCCGUCAUGAUCACCAGGAGGGUAUCUUGGAUGGCCACCCGAACCGUAAGUCUGACUCCGACUUAAACAACCGAGCUCUACUACAUGAAUGCCCAGCGCGGUUGAUUCACAUCAAGCUACAACUGGUGGGGGAGGAAACGUCGACUACCCUAGCCGUCCGAGAUAACGACGUGCACCUACUUGGCUUCAUGAACCAUGAGGGAGUUUGGUACGAGGCAUGGGACCGGUUCAAGGGCGACAGACUCGGAGCAGAAUUCAACCCCAAAUCGCUAAUGUGGGGUUCCUACAAACACAUGCUACCGCGCUUAAAUGUGGGCCUACUACGGUUCUUAAGUUUAAGCAACGACGAUGGAGACGUCAGCCGCCCCAAACUACACUUGAGUGACUGGGAUAAAGUCAGAAAGAAACUGGGCACCGAGCGCCUGGGCAAGGACUUUGCGGUGGAGGCCGUGCGCAUGCUGUCGCGCUACCCAGUCGUGGAGAAGGGUGAGUGCCCCAGGCUGGCACUGGCAGGCCUCAUCAUCAUGUUCUGCGAAUCCGCAAGGCUCGAUCCUGUCCAUGAGCACAUUGCAAAUGUGUGGGAGGACGACAACGGUACUGGAUUCCCCAAGGAGGUAAUGGAGCAAGUACAGGGAUUGGACAUGAUAUCAGAUACUUUGCUGAUAUGGAAGGAUACAGGCUACCACCGGUGGCCUCAAGAUAAUGAUAACCGCGCCAGCAUAAGGGAAAUUUGUGUCAGGGAUUGGCUGCACGGCAUAGGAAUCCGUACCCCAAAAGAUGCACUAGAUGUGGUUCACCUCGUGCCCGCCUGUAUGAUGGAAUGGGACGAUGAACCUUGCCCGUGGCCCUAG